CUAGCGGUGCAGAAAGAGUUAAAUUACGUUCUCUACUGGAGUCCUACCUCAUGUGACAAAUAUGGCCAAUGUGAUUGGCUGUGCCUUUCAGGGAGCUCUGUUUAGUUUUAGCAGUGGCAAGCCUGCGCUGCGCGGACCUGCAAGGAGGAGAGGAGGAUGGCAGCAAAAAGGAAGAACCUGAAUAUAAGAAAGUAUUUUUCAAAGAAACCUCUCAUUCUGUGUAAAACCUAAAGACGGCUGUGCUGGAACAUCCCCAUAAAUCAACAGCUUCUAACAUACUCAGACCUGGUCACCUGGAAAAAAAGAUGUUGGGCCCUUGACAACUGUGAUAUAUGUUAAACCAUAAGUGUGUUAUAUAUCGCAAACCCCAGAUAUCCUUCAGUCUGACCUAAUCCACACUUAAUCACUUGGGGCAACAGCGCUGCAUACGGGAAGAAGUAUGUGUGCAAAUGUGUCUGUAAUAUCAACAGAUAGUUACGCUGGCUGAAGACCAGAUGAGAAGAAAAUUAAAGCAUGUAUCCUUCUCUCUUUAGUAAUCCCAGUAAACCAGUCAAAAAUGUUUGAUGACUGUAAAACAAUGAAUAAUCUCAAGCUUGGGGAGUAAGACUACACUAUGGUGACUACAGCUGAGGUUUUUGUAUUCCAUACCUUCUGAUUAAACAGCGCAUUACCUGCUGACUCACUGAUACUUCCAGUAACAAUGAGUCAGGGCCCCACUUGGACCCCACAGGUUGGCUUCGGGGACUUUCAGUGUGCCCCAGGCAAAAUGAACAACGGCUUGCCUUCAUUACAACAAAGCUGAAUUUAAUUUUAUAAUUUAAUGAGACACAAAAUGAUGUCACAAAAUGAAUGGUAUAUGUUGCAAAGUCAGAUUUUCUUUCUUUGAGCUUUCUGUAAAUACAACACUAAGAAGAUAUUGAAAGUGAGCCAAAACAAAAACAAAGCAAUGAACAGCCACAUUUACUAUAUUCAUACUCUUUUAAUCAGUUGUUACAAUUCACUGUUACAUAGUAACGGUGCAGUUCUACUCGAACAUGGAUUAAGCAUCAAACUGGCUUAUUUGUAACUACUGUUACUUAAAGAAUAGCUAACUAAAGAUCUUGAAAGGACACAAUGCUGCAUUAGUGCCGCCAUCUGGUAAAUGAGGUAAACAGUACAAGAAUGUCAGAACCUUUUGUACAAAGCUCUGGUUGGAAUAAUCCAUUUGUGUAAUAAUAAAACUGCACAAGAAUAAAAACACAUGGUAAUUUAAUCCAAAUCGUGUUUUCUUGUUUGUUAUCUUGUUUAAAUACGCAAAACCAGAAAGCACAAAGAGAAACAGGAAUCUGUUCUAUGGUUACAGAAUAAUGAUGUUUGCAAUGAUUUUUGGUAUUUUUGAUUUUGGUAUUCAU
ensembl:lncRNA